GUUCUGUCCUGGGCUGCUCAGGAGUCUUCCAGACCCACUUGAGAUGUGUAUCUGCUCUGGGCAUCCCGGGGCAAACUCCCACUUCCGAAGCCACUUCCGCUGGUCUUUCUUCCAGGAGGGAAGAAUCAGAUAAGAAAACCAAGACACAGAGAUGGAAGAUGAAUCCAGGCAGUUUGGUUCCAGUGCCUAGAGGAGCCUGGACUCCUCUGAUCCCAGGAGCUCGUCACCCCGACCCUGCAUCUCCGCCGGCACUCACUCAGGUG